rnacentral:snRNA from 1 species
CUCACUUUGGUAGGAAGUAUACUAGAAUUGGAACCAUAUGGAGAAGAUUAGCAUGGCCCCUGUGUAAGAAUGACAUGCAAAUGUGUGAAGCAUUCCAUAUUUUU